UGGGGAAUAUUGGACAAUGGGCGCAAGCCUGAUCCAGCCAUGCCGCGUGAGUGAUGAAGGCCCUAGGGUUGUAAAGCCCUUUCACCGGUGAAGAUAAUGACGGUAACCGGAGAAGAAGCCCCGGCUAACUUCGUGCCAGCAGCCGCGGUAAUACGAAGGGGGCUAGCGUUGUUCGGAUUUACUGGGCGUAAAGCGCACGUAGGCGGACUAUUAAGUCAGGGGUGAAAUCCCGGGGCUCAACCCCGGAACUGCCUUUGAUACUGGUAGUCUUGAGUUCGGGAGAGGUGGGUGGAAUUCCGAGUGUAGGGGUGAGAUUCGUAGAUAUUCGGAGGAACACCAGUGGCGAAGGCGGCUCACUGGCUCGAUACUGACGCUGAGGUGCGAAAGCGGGGGGAGCAAACAGG
rnacentral:rRNA from 1 species